rnacentral:rRNA from 1 species
AUUGAACGCUGGCGGCAGGCCUAACACCUGCAAGUCGAGCGAGCGGCGGACGGGUGAGUAAUGUCUGGGCAACUGCCUGAUGGAGGGGGAUAACUACUGGAAACGGUAGCUAAUACCGCAUACCAUCAAAUGUGCCCAUAUGGGAUUAGCUAGUAGGUGGGGUAACGGCUCACCUAGGCGACAAUCCCUAGCUGGGCUGAGAGGGUGACCAGCCACACUGGAACGGAGACACGGUCCAGACUCCUACGGGAGGCAGCAGUGGGGAAUAUUGCACAAUGGGCGCAAGCCUGAUGCAGCCAUGCCGCGUGUGGGAAGAAGGCCUUCGGGUUGUAAAGCACUUUCAGCGGGGAGGCGUUACCCGCAGAAGAAGCACCGGCUAACUCCGUGCCAGCAGCCGCGGUAAUAC